AAGAAAGUCGUAGGCAUUCCCCAUUCUUAUUCGGCCACGGCCUCCCCGGAUGCCUGCGAGCAGAUCGAGCAGGGGGUCGGCGAGCAGGGCGUGCGGCGCGCAGCGGGAGUGUGCGGCUUGUCGGGUUGGCGAGCCGAGCAGGGGAGCGCGGGGCGGGCGGCUUGGAGAGCGGGCCUCGUCGUGGACGGUGGCGGCGGCGCGAACAGCAGGCUUCCUCGCGACGGCCCGGGCGGAGACUGCGGGCGCGCGGCGGGUGGUGUCCGCGCCGGCGCUGGCGCUGCGGGGCAGAGGAGGCCCGCCGCUGCCCCCACGCGCGUCUCCGUCCACGACGCUCGCCGGCUCCUCCGCAUCUGCUCGCUGCGCCAUUUCCGCAUCUUCUCGCCGCGCCAUCUCUGCAUCUAUUCGCCGCCGUUGGUCGCAUCGAGGCAGGCUCCCUCUUCCAGUACAUAGGCGGGGAUGGGGCGGAGGCGGCGGGGUGGAAGCGGUGGGGCGGAUGUGGCGGGGUGGAGGCCUCCUUGAUUCCACCCUCCCCCUUGGCCGGCCUCCUCGAGCUCCGCCAGGCAUGCACGUCCCACGGCAUUGCUGGAGAUCUGCGCCUCCCUCCUUCGCAAAUUUUUUAGGUAUGCAAUUUAACAGUGCACAUUACACUUCACGUUUAUGCACCGUAUGUUUAAGUACUUUUGUAUCGGAAUAUAUUUUUUGCAAGGAGUUGUUUAUUUGGAAUUGUACAUUUAUUUGAGAUAGUGACUUUUGAAACAUCAAAUUCAUAUCCGUACAUUAUAUUUCCUUAAUUGAUUAGAAGAUCUCCUUGUACACAAUGUUUUUGGCUUUACUCUGUCCGUGGCAUUCAGAGUCAUCGAUGAGCACCUUCAGUCCUUUCCUUUUUGUGACCCUCGAUAAUGCCAAAUAUAACUGCCAUGGCAGAAAACCUGUUUGGACAAAUAUAAUCCGACUGUUUUUAUAGAUUGGCCCUGGCUUUUAUUGAUUGUCAUUGCGAAGCACACCGUUAGGGGAUACUGUCUUCUUUUCAGCACAAACGGCCACUUAGAUUCACUUAGCGACAUGUUGAUUUGAGGAGCAUCACCGGAAGGCCGACUUUCAGUCUAAGCUCAUGGUUUGGGAUUCCAGGGAACUUCAAGCUGUUGAGGAAUUCCGUUGGGUACAUAUGCUCUAUGCUUUUGCUUGUAGAUGCUUUGCACACACUGUCUGAGCUAAGGUAUGUUACUUCUUCACCUUCUAUUUGGCUCAUUAUGUACUCAUUUAUCUCCUCUACUGUUUUGUUACUUGGGCAUAGUAUAGUUCUUUCCUCGAGGAAUUUUGGGUCUCGGUAGUUCCGUAGUUGUUGAACAGGUCUGGAUACGUGCACUUUAUGAUUGUUUCUUUGGGUUCAUCUCCCGUGUCUAGCAUCAGAUCACUUGGGAUUUGGAUCCACUCGUCUCCUUCGUCUGAUGUUUUGAUCCCAUCACCUAUAUUCAGUAUCCACUCAGUGAAUUCCUUGUUCUCCUGUUGUUGUUUUGUAUCGUUAGAUAUAUAGCUGAGCCUCAUGUUCUCUGUGAGCUUGUAAAUUUCAAAGUGGUUCCAGAGAUAUAAUCGUUUGAUAGAUGCGUUCACUAUGUGUUCUCUCCUCCCUUUUGGAACGAUUGGAAGGAUUUGUCGGAAGUCUCCUCCUAGCACAACGGUCAUCCCACCAAAUGGUUUUUAAUCGCUGUUGUCAUUGUUAAAUAUGAGUAUUUCCCUGAGGCUUUUGUCUAGAGUCUCGAAGCAUUUUCUGUUAGCCAUUGGAGCUUCGUCCCACAAAAUUAGAGAGGUCUUUUUCAACAGCUCUGCGAGAUGAGUUCCUUGCUUGAUUUCGCAUGUUGAUUCAUCUGUUAUGUUAAUUGGAAUUCUGAAUCUGGAGUGUGUUGUUCUGCCACCUUGGAUUAGAAGAGCAGCUAUACCACUUGAUGCGACGGCCAGUACUAUCUUCCCUUCGGAUCGUAAUUUUGUUGCGAUAGCUUUCCAUAGGUAUGUUUUGCCUGUACCACCAUAGCCAUCGACGAAUAUUUGUUUUCCUAUUCCUUUGUCAACUGACUCUAUUAUUGCGUCAUAUGCUUUUUUUUGCUCUGGGUUUAGAUUGUUCACAAUUGUCAAGUGUUCGCUCCUCAGGUUGUCACUGUCGUAGUUUAGCUCUUCGUUUAUCAAUCUGUUUCCAAGUAGUUCUAUAUUAUCUGUGCUUGGUAAUUGUAUUUCUGGAUAUUCCCUUAGUGACCUUCCUGAUUGUCUCAUCAGUUUCUCUAUUUCCAUCAAAGUGUAUGUUUUCUUCUGAGAAGCAGUCAGCUGCAAUGUUGGAUAUUUUAGUAUUUUUUUUGUUUGUACUGGAUAUCUUCUGAGAGUGAUUCCCAGGCUGACUCCCACAACAAUUUUGGUUCUGCUACUUCGCAGUGUGUAAGUAUAGUAGUGAAGAGCUGCCGUAGUUGUGUUGCUGUUGCCCAAGCUGAUGCCUCGUUUAUGCACUCAAUCCAUUCAUUCAUUGAUCUUUCUUUGCUUCUUUUGAGGUCAAGUUGUUCCUUCCUUCUCUUCCUAUUCUUUGAUGCUUGUUCUUUUAGCUGGUUUUCCAUUGGUCCUGCAAUUGAUUCUUGAAAAUAAAUUAGUGUACAAAUUUGAUUGUAUAUGUUAUUCUCAUGAUAUCAUUAUCUUCGUGCAAUGUUUUUUUGAGGCAUGAAGAUUAAAAAGAACUAGACUUAAUUCUCAUUAUAUCCUUAUCUUCGUGUGAUGUUUUUUUUCAGGCAUGAAGAUUUUAAAAAGAAGUGGACAUGUAUCAGUUUACUUUGAUAGCUGGUAUUUAUGUCGAUGAAUAAUGUAGCAAAUGAUAUUUUGAGAUUGAUGCGUGAUAUUCCUAUUAUAAUCUGAAACAAAUAAUUUUUGUGACGGUGUUAGCUGCAAAGAAUUGUAAUUGCUAAUGCAGAUUACUUAUAAAUGGAGUUGAUCAAUGUAAGAAAUAAGAUAUAAGAAAGUAUAAUAGUUACCUAUAUUUUCCUUU